CUGCAGCAGGUUCGGGUCGAGCGCAGUGAGACAGCGUUGCUGAAGGCAACGACCCGGAGGGCGAGGCAACGCCGAGUCAUCCUGCACGACCCACCA
rnacentral:sRNA from 1 species